rnacentral:rRNA from 1 species
GACGAACGCUGGCGGCGUGCUUAACACAUGCAAGUCGAACGGUAAGGCCCUUCGGGGUACACGAGUGGCGAACGGGUGAGUAACACGUGGGUGAUCUGCCCAGCACUUCGGGAUAAGCCUGGGAAACUGGGUCUAAUACCGGAUAGGACCACUGCCUGCAUGGGUGGUGGUAGAAAGCCUUUGCGGUGUGGGAUGGGCCCGCGGCCUAUCAGCUUGUUGGUGGGGUGAUGGCCUACCAAGGCGACGACGGGUAGCCGGCCUGAGAGGGUGACCGGCCACACUGGGACUGAGAUACGGCCCAGACUCCUACGGGAGGCAGCAGUGGGGAAUAUUGCACAAUGGGCGCAAGCCUGAUGCAGCGACGCCGCGUGAGGGAUGACGGCCUUCGGGUUGUAAACCUCUUUCAGCACCGACGAAGCGCAAGUGACGGUAGGUGCAGAAGAAGGACCGGCCAACUACGUGCCAGCCGCCGCAGUAAAAC